rnacentral:rRNA from 1 species
GUGGGGAAUCUUGGACAAUGGGGGCAACCCUGAUCCAGCCAUGCCGCGUGAGCGAUGAAGGCCUUAGGGUUGUAAAGCUCUUUCAGCGGGGAAGAUAAUGACGGUACCUUCAGAAGAAGCCCCGGCCAACUACGUGCCAGCAGCCGCGGUAAUACGUAGGGGGCAAGCGUUGUCCGGAAUUAUUGGGCGUAAAGAGCUCGUAGGCGGCUCAGCAAGUCGGCUGUGAAAUCCCGAGGCUCAACCUCGGAACUGCAGUCGAUACUGUUGUGGCUAGAGUCUGGUAGAGGAGAAUGGAAUUCCCGGUGUAGCGGUGAAAUGCGCAGAUAUCGGGAGGAACACCAGUAGCGAAGGCGGUUCUCUGGGCCAGUACUGACGCUGAGGAGCGAAAGCGUGGGGAGCAAACAGGAUUAGAAACCCUAGUAGUCC